AAUAAAGUGGCUGAAUUUAAGCGAUAAAUUGUAAAUUUAUUUAUGAGGUUUCUCCUUUAUUA
rnacentral:tRNA from 1 species